rnacentral:rRNA from 1 species
CUCGUAGGCGGCCAACUAAGUCAGACGUGAAAUCCCUCGGCUUAACCGGGGAACUGCGUCUGAUACUGGAUGGCUUGAGUUUGGGAGAGGGAUGCGGAAUUCCAGGUGUAGCGGUGAAAUGCGUAGAUAUCUGGAGGAACACCGGUGGCGAAGGCGGCAUCCUGGACCAAUACUGACGCUGAGGAGCGAAAGCCAGGGAGCAAACG